UGUCUGGCGGCCAUAGCGCGGUGGUCCCACCUGACCCCAUGCCGAACUCAGAAGUGAAACGCCGUAGCGCCGAUGGUAGUGUGGGGUCUCCCCAUGCGAGAGUAGGGAACUGCCAGACAU
rnacentral:rRNA from 1 species